GACUGUGUGGCCUAAUGGAUAAGGCAUCUGAGUUUGGAUCAGAAGACUGAGGGUUGGCGUCCCUUCGCAGUUG
rnacentral:tRNA from 1 species